UUAUUUAUUCUGUACUUUCGCAUUUAUAAUAGGGAUAUAAUUUACCUAUUUAUAACCUUUUUUUUGCCAACCCAUUUUUAUUGAAUGGUGAACUUUUUUGUAGAUAAACUGUCAGAUUACGCGAAUAGUAAACAGGUUAUAAAAUGAGAAUAUCUGUUUUUUGCUUAACAAUAUAUGUUAUUGAAAGAAGACCGUAAAACCACAAUGGAGAAAAUAAUAAUAGACCGUUCUACGGAAGAAUUCCCUCGCAGUAAACGCUUUUUAUUGGCCCUGAAUGUAAUCGGAUUGAUGGGUUGCCUUAUAUUAACUAUUCUUUUAGUCCUAUGGGCUCUGGGAAUACUAUGGCCGGAACCUAAUACAGCGGAGUUUUUGGUCAAAAUAAUUGAAGGAGCAAAAACACUGAAAGUCAGUCCCUAUAAAGAUGAAGUUGUUUGUGAAAAAUGUGAAUCUAUAAAUCAACUGAUAAUGGCUUUGUACUAAAAACUUAGUAAAGUGACAGGUAAGUGCUUUCAUAGUAGGUAUAGACCGCGGACCAGGAGCAUAUUUCGUCAGUCAUCGCCUCCAGGCUAAUACUUUGUCA